CCAUUUCGAUUUUGAAGAUUUUUGUGUAAAUUGUUGUUAAGAUCCCCAAAAUCGAAAUGGUUUUGUGCUACCCGUCAUCUCCUUCAAAGUUUGCUGCUACAUUGGCGUGUUUUUUUGGUGGUUCUGUUCUGUUUGCUUUUGGUGUACAUCAUUCUUAUAUCAAUAUUGCUCCUCAACAAGCUCGAACUAAAGCUCGGAAUGACUUUGUCAAGG
rnacentral:misc_RNA from 1 species